UAUGGCCCUAAAUCAAACAAAUCCCAUUUCAUUUUUUCCAAGUUUUCCAGCCACUUAAACCUUGUAUACAUGGGUGACAUCUACCUUGAGGUCCGGGGAAUCCAUUGGAGGGCCAACCAAAUGGAUGACCAUCUGUGCCGAGGACAGUGUAUUCUUGUUCCAUUCCAAACCAAGGAUGCUGGUUUAGCACCAUAUCCAUGAUCUUUUUACACAUCUGGCGAAGGUCUGUGGUUGUAUUUGAGGACUUCACACAGAACCAGUUUGUUGGGGUCUUUCCUGAAAGGGUCUCUGAACAUGGCUUGUGGGAUCAAGUACAUAUCACUGUUGGACCCCUCAGACUGAUAUGUGCUGGAGCCAUCAAAGUUCCAUUCAGGAAGAUCUAAAGAGAAAAAAAGAAAAAGAAAAGUGCAACAGUGAUGGUGGUUUGGUUAACCGCUUUGUGUGAUUUAAAGUGAAAGACAAAUGAUACAUUCAGCCUAAUAAAUACCUUCAAUGGUC